rnacentral:lncRNA from 1 species
AUGCUGGGUGCGUGCAGCUUCAGGACAAAGGGCAAUAAAACACAUUCCACAGGCACCCCCCCUGCACUAAGUCGACACGGGACAGUGUCCAGUUUCACCCGAGGCCGACAUCGAUUGGACGCCACACAGCUCAGGCAGGGAGGCAGCAAGCGUCCAGUUGAGCAUGUGACAACACAGGAUCGCAAGAGGAACUGCAGCGGGGUGACGCAUGAGCAGGCUCCUGCAGUGGCAGAUGAGACUGAGAUCUCCCCUCCUACAUUUUCUGUACAUUGUGACACACAAGCAGACUUCUGCAAUAGCCGACAAAAUCCUCAAGGUAAAAAGGUUGGACCUGACCAGAACUGAUUUCCUUGUCAUUGCCUGCAGUUAACGUGUGUUCACAGUGAUAUGUUUGAUUCAGACAGCCACUGUGCCAUGUGUUGUUUCAAAGCCUCAGCCAUCAGCCUUCCACUACAGGCAGUGUGAUGGUGCAGCAGGACAACGGCAUUCAAAGAAACAGCUCUGUGAAGCAGUCCCAUGUCUGUGAAGGAUGCCAGUCAGCAGGAUGAAAACAUUUCUCUGCAUGCAGCAGCAGUCUGACAAGUCCCAGAUGGGUAAGGUUAGGUGUUCAACUCUUUAGGAUGAACAGAGUGCUGCAGCGCCAGCUAAAGUUGCAGUUUCACGGAGCUGUUUGUCUUCAUGCUACAACUUCAGCCCAUUUUCACACUCAUACAGCUUCACAGUCUGUUCUUGUACUGAAUGGAUUGUGUACAAACAGACUGGCGCUGCAGCAGUCUGUUUAUCCUGAAGCAUUGAACACCUUACCUUACCUUACCUUACCUUCCUGGGACUUGUCAGACUGCUGCUGCAUGUAGAGAAAUGUUUUCAUCCUGCUGACUGUCAUCCUUCACAGAUAUAGGACUGCUUCACAGAGCUGUUUCUUUGAAUGCUGUCAUCCUGCUGCAAGUCACACUGAGUCUCUGUCACAAUCUGUGCAACAAAAUGACAAAGGUCAGUAUGCAUGUCGUAGUUCACAGAGCUGCUUGUCUUCAUGCUGCAACUUCAGCCCACUUUGACACUC